GCCAACUACUGUAUACACCAUUGAUCUAGCUGCAAGUAACUUUGGAAUAGGCUGGCAUUCCUCAUCUUGCAGAAAAGCUUCAGGCAAAAUGUUGCUCUCCCCAACUUUUGUGGAGGGGGAGUUUGCCAGUCAUCUAGGACCCCCCCCCCAAAAGCAGUAAAACCUCCCUCCAGUGCCCACCUAUGCCAACCACCAGAAAUAUCCUUCCUCUCUGUAUGUAACUAACUUUGGCCUCUUCUUCUGUCUUUGCAGCUGUCGAAGUGGCAACCAGAAGAGCCUGGUGGUGGGCACACCUUCGCCCACCUUUUCCCGCCCACUCUCCCCACUCUCAGUGCCAACAGCCUGCAACAGCCCAGUGGACAGUCCGUGCACCUUCUCCACGGGUACCUCUGCCAGCUUCCCAUUUGCCCACAGCCAUGCCCCUCGGACAGACAGGUAUGUCCUGGUGG